rnacentral:rRNA from 1 species
AGUGAACGCUGGCGGCAGGCCUAACACAUGCAAGUCGAACGGCAGCACAGUAAGAUUGUGCUCUUACGGGUGGCGAGUGGCGGACGGGUGAGGAAUACAUCGGAAACUACUUUUUCGUGGGGGAUAACGUAGGGAAAGUUACGCUAAUACCGCAUAUGAUCUACGGGUGAAAGCAGGGGAUCUUCGGACCUUUCGCGAUUGAAUGAGCUGAUGUCGGAUUAGCUAGUUGGCGGGGUAAAGGCCCACCAAGGCGACGAUCCGUAGCUGGUCUGAGAGGAUGAUCAGCCACACUGGAACUGAGACACGGUCCAGACUCCUACGGGAGGCAGCAGUGGGGAAUAUUGGACAAUGGGCGCAAGCCUGAUCCAGCCAUACCGCGUGGGUGAAGAAGGCCUUCGGGUUGUAAAGCCCUUUUGUUGGGAAAGAAAAGCAGCAGGUUAAUACCCGGCUGUUCUGACGGUACCCAAAGAAUAAGCACCGGCUAACUUCGUG